rnacentral:rRNA from 1 species
UACGGGGGGGCAAGCGUUGUUCGGAAUUACUGGGCGUAAAGGGCUCGUAGGCGGCCAACUAAGUCAGACGUGAAAUCCCUCGGCUUAACCGGGGAACUGCAUCUGAUACUGGAUGGCUUGAGUUCGGGAGAGGGAUGCGGAAUUCCAGGUGUAGCGGUGAAAUGCGUAGAUAUCUGGAGGAACACCGGUGGCGAAGGAGGCAUCCUGGACCGGCAUUGACGCUGAGGAGCGAAAGCCAGGGGAGCAAACGGG